AUUUUUAUGGAGAGUUUGAUCCUGGCUCAGGAUGAACGCUGGCGGCGUGCCUAAUACAUGCAAGUCGAGCGAACGGACGAGAAGCUUGCUUCUCUGAUGUUAG
rnacentral:rRNA from 1 species